ACUCAGCUGACGAGUCCCAGACAGGACAAAACUUGCGUCAUGGAU
rnacentral:hammerhead_ribozyme from 1 species